ACACAAUUUUGGUUUUUAUAGUCAUUCAGUACCGGGGAACCAAGCCGCACCUUUCAUCCUGUUUUUUUUUUUAAUUCGGGGUUCCUUUUUUUAUUUUUUUGAUUGUUUUAUAACAAAGUGAUACUCCUGUUUUCGCAACAUUUCGUAAAUAUGUUCUUGGUUUAAUUAGUUUAUGGCAAGGUCUAUACUUAAAGACGCCGUGCAUGACGCAGCACAUUUUCUUUUUCGGAUUUUCUUACCUUCAUUUGGAAUAGCCACCGACACCAUCAGACUCCUUUCUUAUUUGGACCUUCUGAAUUACAAGUAAUGCUAAUGAAGCUCUUUAUUUUAUGGGUUUGCGCGGUUUCAAUAUCCUUAAUCCCAACGUUUUCCUUGGCACUAUGCCACUUAUCGUUAAGUCCUUUAUAUACAUUAGUUCCUGGUAAUCCUGCUGCUUAUUUUAUGUUUCUCGCAACGAAACGAUGAUUUCUGGAUAAGUUUUGUAUCUCAAGGCGGCCUUUUGGAAUUCCUCUCUUUGUAUUUCCUGUGGGUUUUCCUUUUAUUUUGUAAAACGCAAUUCACCUCUAGCUCCAACUGUUUGAUGCAUCUUUCCUUUUGUUGUUCCUGAGUUUAUUGAAGAUUAUUGCAUUCUCUUUUGGUUCUAUUUUUUAUUAACCGAUGUGCGAAAGAAAAAUUAAACCGAGAUAUAUAUAGAAUACCCAACAGAAACCAAAUAUAUAGUAUAACCAAACUUAUGUUCUUUAAAAUCUGAAAUCACUGAUGUUGUUUAAAAUUUUAGUAGUAAUUUAAGCCAACAAAGAAAUCUAAAGAUUUAUCCACUGUCAAUUAUUUGUAAAAUGAUUUAAUUAAAUGUAUUGCCUUCCAAA